ensembl:snRNA U6 U6 spliceosomal RNA
GUGCUCUCUUCAGCAGCACAUAUACUAAAAUUGGAACUAUACAGAGAAGAUUAGCAUGGGCCCUGCACAAGGAUGACAUGCAAAUUCAUGAAGUGUUCCAUAUUUUU